UUUUUUAAAUGUGUCUGUUUUGCCAGCAUGGUCAGUGUGAACGUUGCUGUGCUGUAAGAUGAUGCAUUACUAUGUCUUUUGUGUUUAAACAUUUUCUUUACCUUUGCACAGCCGUCUGGACAACGGUAUGGACAACAUGACGGUGAAUGAAAUCCAGGAUGUCUGUAGCAUCACCCUUGAUAAGAGCCCUUGCGGGCUGACCGAUGCGGUGGCAAACGUGGCUCAUGUCUUGCACUGCGCUGCUCGUAACAACCUGACCAUGACAGAAGCCGUCGUCUUGAAGCUGGUUCUAGAGCUGACUCAGCGUCUGAACUUGCUGAUCAAGGAGCUCUCCACAGCAGUGAGUACUGUCUAACAGCUCCACGGUGACUUAUAGCUUCACAACAUUGCUUUCAUAGCCAGGCUUGUGUUUUCACCACACACAUUGCAGCUUCAGCAAAUCAAUGCUUCCUCGUUCUUCAUCCCCUGUAGAACUUCACGCAGUUGGAAUCCGAGUUUAAGCAGAUCUUCAGCGAGUCAAACUCCGCAACUCUGACCCAGGAGCACCUGACGGACCCAGCCUUCAUCCAGCUCUGGUUCAAGGUCAAGCUGCUGCCCCUCCUGCCCAACGUACAGCCAGAGCUCCUCUCCUGCCUCAGCACCAAGAACUUCUCCUGCCCCGUUUACCAAACCCUGUAAGUCAACCGUCUUCAUUUCCCUUUCGUUUAACCGGAACGUGGUUUGGUGCAGUCGUUCUCAUUUUGUCUUUGCCCUGCUGUGUGCAGUGUGGCGGCGCUCAGUGAACGAAUGAACUUUUUGGAUGCUGAUCCGAUGUACAGCAGCAACAUCUACGAGUACUUCAUCUACACCUUCCUGCUAAAUCACAACACCUCGGGUAAGAAGAGGACACAGACAACACAUAUUAACGCACAGAUACUACAAAACCAGUUCUUAUGGCAUUUAUGUUAAUGUUUGUACAAAUGCUUCAGACCCCCAGUGUGUCUCUGCAGCUAAUAACAGCGCAGAAUGGCUGCAACUCAACUUUGGUUUCUUCUCAAGCUUUGCCUCUAUCAUCGACUUCUACACACUCAACUCUUAUUUCACUGGAGUAAGUUUGCAAAACACAGAUGUGCUCAAACAGACUUAACAGAAGCAGAAAUUUGACUAUAUAGUAAUUGUUCUCUCCUCUUCUGCUUUGUGUCCCGCUCAGCUGGAGGCUCUUGACCUCCUGACUCCAAAUCAGACGGUAGAGUUGCUGCUGUUGACUCUCCCAACUCCACCAGAGAAAGACGUUGUCAUCAGCCAAGUGUUUAACUUCCUGACGGAGUCACCUGCAGCCAGGAAGUACCCAGAGGUCCUCAGCGCUUUGGUCAGGCUCGCUGGAAAGGUAAUAGCUUUGGCUGAGAUGUGUAGGUGUUGAGCAUGCUUUAGCCUUCCUCAAAUAUUAAUCAUAAAAUAUGCAAUUUUUCAGAUCAAUCCUUCCUGCGACAUCUACAAACAAAUGUGAGUACCUUCAAAUGGUUUUCUGACACAAUAUGACUUAUGAUUCUUUCCAAACUGUUUUGUUCUUUGUAUGAAUCAGGAAAACUCUCUCACAGCAGACCAUGUUCAAGCUAAGGCUUCACUGCAAUGCAUUAAUGGCUAAAGCUGAACCAUUGCUAUUGCUAUUACUAAAUUCACCCUGAGAAAAACAGAAAGAGAAAGAAAUUAGAUUACACUAUAAAUCACGGCAUUAAUAUAGCUUAUUAACUGGAUUAAUACAGGAUAACGUAG
ensembl:lncRNA